CCUACGGGUGGCAGCAGUGGGGAAUAUUGGGCAAUGGAGGAAACUCUGACCCAGCAACGCCGCGUGAAUGAUGAAGGUCUUCGGAUUGUAAAGUUCUUUUCUAAGGGAAGAAGAAAGUGACGGUACCUUAGGAAUAAGCCUCGGCUAACUACGUGCCAGCAGCCGCGGUAAUACGUAGGAGGCGAGCGUUAUCCGGAAUGACUGGGCGUAAAGGGUGCGUAGGUGGUUUGGCAAGUUAGUAGCGUAACUCCAAGGCUCAACCUUGGAACUACUACUAAAACUGUUGGACUUGAGUGCAGGAGGGGCAACCGGAAUUCCUAGUGUAGCGGUGGAAUGCGUAGAUAUCACGAAGAACUCCGAUUGCGAAGGCAGCUCACUGGACUGCAACUGACACUGAGGCUCGAAAGUGUGGGUAUCAAACAGGAUUAGAUACCCGUGUAGUC
rnacentral:rRNA from 1 species